GAUGAACGCUAGCGGGAGGCCUAACACAUGCAAGCCGAGCGGUAGAGUUUCUUCGGAAUCUUGAGAGCGGCGCACGGGGGCGUAACACUUGUGCAACCUACCUUUAUUUGUGGUAUAGCCUUGCGAAAGGAAGAUUAAUACCCCAUAAUAUAAUGAUUGGCAUCAAUUAUGAUUGAAAACUCCGGUGGAUAGAGAUGGGCACGCGCAAGAUUAGAUAGUUGGUGAGGUAACGGCUCACCAAGUCAAUGAUCUUUAGGGGUCCUGAGGGGGAGAGCCCCCACAGUGGUACUGCGGCCCAGACCACUCUGCUACGGGACGCAGCCGUAAGGAAUAUUGGACAAUGGGUGAGAGCCUGAUCCAGCCAUCCCGCUUGAAGGAUCACGGUCCUAUGGAUUGUAACCUUCUUUUGUACAGGGAUAAACCUACCCUCGUGAGGGUAGCUGACGGUACUGUACGAAUAAGCACCGGCUAACUCCGUG
rnacentral:rRNA from 1 species